rnacentral:tRNA from 1 species
GGGGGUGAGGGUUGGGAGCCCAGUGUCCUCUGCCCAGGGGUCGCGACCGGGUUCGAUUCCCGGCACCUCCACCA